GCAGACUGUGGCAGCGCCACAGACAAGCACGUCCAUGGUCUGUGUCUGUCUGUAAGUAAUUCAAGUGAUGUAAGAGUUAGAGUCUUGUUCCAAAUAUGUUAAAACGACGGGGACUGAAAGGAGACAUUACCAUUACCGAGCGUGCGUCUAAAUAUUUGUAUUUAUUUUAAACAAAUCACGUAAUACAAUGGUUUUCUCCGCUGAAAAGUUUUUUUUUAUGUCUGUGUCUGUGUCAGCAGACAGCUGUUCAUAAAUACACAGUGAGCUAAUAGGGGCAAAGGGAUUGUACUACCUCUUCAAAGACAGCUGAAAGGAAGGGGAGGUGAUGUGUCAUACAGGGCACCAAAGAAGCGGGACUCCGAUGACUCCUCGCCAACCCCCCACCCCCACAGAAGCAGAACGUUUCGGUCAACGGGAGACGCGGUGGUGAACCAGAAUUCACCUCUGAUCCCUGAGGACCCUGUACAACCUCAGGGGCUGGACCCCCAAACAUGGGCAAGAUGUCAGUUUCCAGAAUGUGUGUGUGUGUGUGUCGGGGGGGGGGUGUCCACAUGGCCGCCUCUGGUCUCUG